CAGUCGCCGCGGUAAUACGGAGGGGGCUAGCGUUGUUCGGAAUUACUGGGCGUAAAGCGCACGUAGGCGGCUUGGUAAGUUAGAGGUGAAAGCCUGGAGCUCAACUCCAGAAUUGCCUUUAGGACUGCCGAGCUAGCAGGUGAGAGAGGUAAGUGGAAUUCCGAGUGUAGAGGUGAAAUUCGUAGAUAUUCGGAAGAACACCAGGGGCGAAGGCGGCUUACUGGCUCAUACUGGACGCUGAGGUGCGAAAGCGUGGGGAGCAAACAGGAUUAGAUACCCCGGUAGUCCCUGUCUCUUAUAC
rnacentral:rRNA from 1 species